rnacentral:rRNA from 1 species
UACGGAGGAUCCAAGCGUUAUCCGGAUUUAUUGGGUUUAAAGGGUGCGUAGGCGGCUUAUUAAGUCAGGGGUGAAAGACGGUGGCUUAACCAUCGCAGUGCCCUUGAUACUGAUGAGCUUGAAUACACUUGAGGUAGGCGGAAUGUGACAAGUAGCGGUGAAAUGCAUAGAUAUGUCACAGAACACCAAUUGCGAAGGCAGCUUACUAAGGUGCAAUUGACGCUGAGGCACGAAAGCGUGGGGAUCAAACAGG